GCCCUUGGAAGGGAUGUAUUUAUUAGAUUAAAAACCAAUGCCCUUCGGGGCUCACUGGUGAUUCAUGAUAACUCCUCGAAUCGCAUGGCCUUGUGCCGGCGAUGGUUCAUUCAAAUUUCUUCCCUAUCAACUUUCGAUGUUUGGGUAUUGGCCAAACAUGGUUGCAACGGGUAACGGAGGGUUAGGGCUCGACCCCGGAGAAGGAGCCUGGGAAACGGCUACUACAUCCAAGGAAGGCAGCAGGCGCGCAAAUUACCCAAUCCCGACACGGGGAGGUAGUGACAAUAAAUACUGAUACAGGGCUCUUUUGGGUCUUGUAAUUGGAAUGAGUACAAUUUAAAUCCCUUAACGAGGAACAAUUGGAGGGCAAGUCUGGUGCCAGCAGCCGCGGUAAUUCCAGCUCCAAUAGCGUAUAUUAAAGUUGUUGUGGUUAAAAAGCUCGUAGUUGAACCUUGGGCCUGGCUGGCCGGUCCGCCUCACCGCGUGUACUGGUCCGGCCGGGCCUUUCCCUCUGUGGAACCCCAUGCCCUUCACUGGGUGUGGCGGGGAACCAGGACUUUUACAAGGGC
rnacentral:rRNA from 1 species